UCUAAACGGGCCAUGUUUUUCUGCAAUUGAUGGCUGCACUAUUGGCAAUUAAUUGUCCGGCCAUCACAAAAAUGUUUUAAUGCAGAUGAUGGCCGAGCAAUCUAUGGCCGGGCCAUGUGUUGCAAUAUGUCAGCAAUAGUAUGGCCCAUGAUGCAGACUCCUAAACGGGCCACACAUACCGGCAACAAUGGCUGAUGAGAUCACACUUGUCGCAGCAGCUUAUAUUAAUUUUAAAAGAACAGAAAAAGAAGAGAUUGAGGAUUCGACCUUAUUUAAAUAGGCGUGAAACUGUAGACAAUUUGAGUCUAGCAGUAAUAAGCCUUGAUAAUAAAUUAUUCAAGAACUUGGCUAGAAUUUCAAAAGGCGACUUUGACUUUCUCUUAAACAAAAUUGGACCAAAAAUAAAAAGAAAUGAUACAAACAUGAGAACAGCAAUACCUGUUUCAUCGCCAUCACGAGUUUUGCGAUAACUCUACGGUUUUUGGCAACAUGAGAUUCAUUUAAAAGUUUUAUGUACCUGUUCCGUGUUAGAUGUUAGAUUUCAAGUAGAGUGUUAGAUUUCAACUUUUAUACAAGAGGUGUGUACAGCUAUUAUAGAAGGAUUAAAAUAAUACAUCAAGAUGCCGUCAGGAGUAACAGAAUGGAAACAAGUUGCAAAAGAUUUCGAGGGAAGAAGUUCAAUUUAUCAAUCGAUAUGAUACAUACGUAAUACAGAGAUAUGUACAUUUAUAAUGACUAAAAUAUUUUAUUAAAGAUACUUACGUUAGAA